rnacentral:rRNA from 1 species
UACGUAGGGGGCAAGCGUUGUCCGGAUUUAUUGGGCGUAAAGAGCGUGUAGGCGGCCUUCCAGGUCAGCUGUGAAAACUCGAGGCUCAACCUCGAGACGUCGGUUGAAACCGUAUGGCUAGAGUCCGGAAGAGGAGAGUGGAAUUCCCGGUGUAGCGGUGAAAUGCGCAGAUAUCGGGAAGAACACCCGUGGCGAAGGCGGUUGCCUGGGGCUUUGCUGACGCUGAGGCGCGAAAGCGUGGGGAGCAAACAGG